rnacentral:rRNA from 1 species
GACGAACGCUGGCGGCGUGCUUAACACAUGCAAGUCGAACGGAAAGGCCCUGCUUUUGUUGGGUGCUCGAGUGGCGAACGGGUGAGUAACACGUGAGUAACCUGCCCUUGACUUUGGGAUAACUUCAGGAAACUGGGGCUAAUACCGGAUAGGAGCUCCUGCUGCAUGGUGGGGGGUGGGAAAGUUCGGCGGUUGGGGCUGGAAUCGCGGGUUAUCCGCCUGGUGGGUGGGUUGGGGCUUACCAAGGCUUUGACGGGUAGCCGGCCUGAGAGGGUGACCGGCGACAUUGGGACUGAGAUACGGCCCAGACUCCUACGGGAGGCAGCAGUGGGGAAUAUUGCACAAUGGGCGGAAGCCUGAUGCAGCAACGCCGCGUGCGGGAUGACGGCCUUCGGGUUGUAAACCGCUUUCGCCUGUGACGAAGCGUGAGUGACGGUAAUGGGUAAAGAAGCACCGGCUAACUACGUG